AUGACGGGUCAGAGGAGCUUUUCUCGCACGAUCUGAUAACCAUUGAUCGUGAGCAGGUUAGAAGUUCCACCCCCUCCCCCAGAGGUGAGUAAGGCUGAAAAAAGCAUUUUUAUUGGGGGGGACACAGCAGGAUCUCACUACUGAGGAUAUUUGUCCCUUGUUUCAACUUUCCACAGAUGGCGGUGUGGGGUUGGCACAGGCGGCACCAGAGAAUGACCUAGAUGUCACAGUGGAUGGCCUCGCUGACUGUGAGGCGGAGGAACCGUGUCCUGAUGCUCAGGAGGAACCGCAGAGUGAAGGCGACUCAAGCUCAUUGCAGCAGGGUGGCGGAAAGGAUUCCACAUCAACAUCCAUGGCUGAGGCUUCCCCAGGGUCACGCCUUGAACGUAUAAAGAGCAGAAGACGGAGAAAUGCGGGAUUGUUUGCAGUCGCUGAUAAGAUGAUCAGUCAGUCAGGGGAGGAGCAUAAGGCCCAAAUUGCUGAA